rnacentral:rRNA from 1 species
ACGAACGCUGGCGGCGUGCUUAACACAUGCAAGUCGAACGGGUCUGCCCUGUUUUUUGCGGGGUGGGUCAGUGGCGAACGGGUGAGUAACACGUGAGUAACCUGCCCCUCACUUCUGGAUAACCGCUUGAAAGGGUGGCUAAUACGGGGUGUUCUGGCUGUGCCGCAUGGUGUGGCUGGGAAAGAUUCACUUUUGUGGUGUUUUGGUGGGGGAUGGGCUCGCGGCCUAUCAGCUUGUUGGUGGGGUGAUGGCCUGCCAAGGCUUUGACGGGUAGCCGGCCUGAGAGGGUGGGCGGUCACACUGGGACUGAGAUACGGCCCAGACUCCUGCGGGAGGCAGCAGUGGGGGGUAUUGCACAAUGGGCGGAAGCCUGAUGCAGCGGCGUCGCGUGAGGGAUGGAGGCCUUCGGGUUGUGAACCUCUUUCGCCGGUGAAGAAGGUCCUGCUCUUUGUGGUGGGGUUGACGGUAGCCGGGUUAUGAAGCGCCGGCUAACUACGUG